GAUGAACGCUGACAGAAUGCUUAACACAUGCAAGUCGAUGGGGAAGUGGUGCUUGCACCAUGGUAACCAUGGCGGACGGGUGAGUAACGCGUAAGGAACUUGCCUGCGGGACUGGGAUAACAGCAGGAAACUGCUGAUAAUACCGGAUAAGGUCAUUAAGCUGCAUAGCUUAGUGAUGAAAGGAGACGCCUGCGGAGAGCCUUGCGUCCUAUUAGCUAGUUGGAGGGGUAACGGCCCACCAAGGCGAAGAUAGGUAGCCGGCCUGAGAGGGUGGACGGCCACAAGGGGACUGAGAUACGGCCCUUACUCCUACGGGAGGCAGCAGUGGGGAAUAUUGGACAAUGGGGGCAACCCUGAUCCAGCAAUUCUGUGUGCACGAAGACGGUUUUCGGAUUGUAAAGUGCUUUCAGCAGGGAAGAAGGAAGUGACGGUACCUGCAGAGGAAGCGACGGCUAAAUACGUG
rnacentral:rRNA from 1 species